UGGGCAAUAUUGCACAAUGGGCGCAAGCCUGAUGCAGCCAUGCCGCGUGUAUGAAGAAGGCCUUCGGGUUGUAAAGUACUUUCAGUCGGGAGGAAGGUGGUAAGGUUAAUAACCUUAUCAAUUGACGUUACCGACAGAAGAAGCACCGGCUAACUCCGUGCCAGCAGCCGCGGUAAUACGGAGGGUGCAAGCGUUAAUCGGAAUUACUGGGCGUAAAGCGCACGCAGGCGGUUGAUUGAGUCAGAUGUGAAAUCCCCGGGCUUAACCCGGGAAUUGCAUCUGAUACUGGUCAGCUAGAGUCUUGUAGAGGGGGGUAGAAUUCCAUGUGUAGCGGUGAAAUGCGUAGAGAUGUGGAGGAAUACCGGUGGCGAAGGCGGCCCCCUGGACAAAGACUGACGCUCAGGUGCGAAAGCGUGGGGAGCAAACAGG
rnacentral:rRNA from 1 species